GAGGGAGGAGAAUGCGCGGCGGAGCGAGGAGGGUGGAGGAGGGAGGAGGACUACUUUGGAGGUGUUUGAGUUUAAUGAGUAUGAUGGGAUGGAGGGGCAGGCGGUGAGGAGGAGUAGGUUUGGGGAUGGAGUUAUUGGGGUCGAGUUUGGGGAGAGGAGGUUUGGGGGAGGAGUGCCGCCGCGGAGUGGGGUUAAGAGGGAGUUUGAGAGUGGUUCGAGUAGGCAGCUUGUGGAGAAGAGGAAGAGUUUGUAUCAUGACCGGAGUAGUGCCUUGAGCAGGGGCAGGGGGUUGGGUGAUGGAGCUCAGCUGCCGUUAGUGAGAGAUAAGCUUGUGGGGGUUUCGGAUGAGCCUAUUAGGGUUCAGGGUAGGAAUGGUGUUUUGAAGGUGAUGGUGAAGAAAAAGAACAAUGUGCCUCCUGUGCAGGUAGGGACCUAUAGUUUUCCAAAAGCUGAGGAACCUAGGAAAGCUCCAAGAAGUGAGGAUGCUCCCAAGAAGAAUGCUGGUAUCCCUCCGUUUUUCGCAGAACCAAAGUCUGUUGGGAAACCAGUUUCAGCUGUCAGGACAGAGAAAGCCCAUGUGAAUUUGCGAAAAUCAUUGCCAACUAAGACCAGCAAGAGCUCUGACUGGGAUUCAGAAGACAGUGAUACGUCAUUGAAGCUGGGAGCAAAGAGUGCUGAAGCCUCUAAACCCAUGAAGAUGACAGGUUUCAAAGUGGAAGGUGGUCCUGCAUCUGAAAAGACCCCUCCAGCCAGAAGCAAUGAAGUGAAACUUAAACGUGGUAGUGGCACAGAGAAGCAGAAACUGCGUGAACGUAUAAGAGAGAUGCUCCUGAAUGCCGGCUGGACAAUAGAUUAUAGGCCUAGAAGGAACAGAGACUACCUGGAUGCUGUGUACAUUAACCCAUCAGGUACAGCUUACUGGUCCAUCAUUAAGGCUUAUGAUGCUCUUCAAAAGCAAGUAAAUGAAGAAAAUGAGGCUAGACGUAUUGGAGGUGGUUCCUCACUUGCACCUAUAACUGAUGAUGUACUCAGUCAGUUAACCAGGAAAACUCGUAAGAAGAUGGAGAAAGAAAUGAAAAGGAAGCAAAGAGCUGCUGAGAGUGACAGUGAGAAUGCAAAAGGAGUUCGUAUGAAAAAACCUAGAGGUUCCAAGCACGACCCAGAUAGCAUGGACAGUAUUAGUUAUGAGGAGAAACUGAGCUCUUACUUGAAGCAAGGUGGUAAGUCAUUAAAGGGUAGAAUGUAUGAAAAUGGUUUGGAUCUAAAUGGUCUGAGUUCCUCCCAUCAUUUAAAUGGCUCUGGUGAAAAACCAUCUUCGGGAUCUAGUUCUCAUAUGCCACAUGGAAGGAAAAGUCGAAAGCUCGGUAGAUGUACUUUGUUGGUUCGUGGUUCUAACAAGGCGAUUAACUCGGAAAAUGAUAGCUUUGUUCCAUAUACUGGAAAACGAACACUGCUUUCCUGGCUGAUUGAUACUGGAACUGUGCAAUUGAGCCAAAAAGUGCAGUAUAUGAAUCGGCGAAGAACUAAAGUAAUGCUGGAGGGCUGGAUUACAAGAGAUGGCAUUCACUGUGGUUGCUGUAGUAAGAUCCUCACAGUCUCCAAAUUUGAGAUUCAUGCAGGGAGCAAAUUGCGCCAGCCAUUUCAAAAUAUAUGCUUGGACUCUGGGGUUUCCCUUUUGCAAUGUCAGAUAGAUGCAUGGAAUAGACAAGAGGAUAUAAACCGCAUUGGUUUCCACUCUGUACAAGUUGAUGAUGAUGAUCCCGAUGAUGAUACUUGUGGCCUUUGUGGAGAUGGUGGGGAUUUGAUUUGUUGUGAUGGCUGCCCUUCAACAUUUCAUCAGAGCUGCUUAAACAUACAGAUGCUUCCUCCAGGUGAUUGGCACUGCCCUAACUGUAUUUGCAAAGUUUGUGGAUUAGCUAGUGAGAAUAUCGCUGAGGAGGAUGAUACAACUGUUUCUGCACUGCUGGCUUGUAGUCUCUGUGGAAAAAAAUGUCACCUUUCAUGCAGUCAGGAGAUGGAUGCUGGUCCUGCUGAUUCCAAUAAUUUAGGCUCUUCCUUUUGUGGGCAGAAAUGUAGAGAGCUCUUUGAGAAUUUGCAGAGAUGUCUUGGGGUCAAACAUGAACUAGAAGGAGGAUAUACAUGGUCUCUUGUGAAGAGAACAGAUGUUGAUAGAGGAUUUCCUUUGAGGGUCGAAUGCAAUUCUAAGCUUGCUGUUGCGUUAACCGUUAUGGACGAAUGCUUUUUGCCUAUUGUUGACAGAAGGAGUGGGAUCAACUUAAUUCAUAAUGUCCUAUAUAAUUGUGGAUCAAACUUCAAUCGGCUGAACUACAGUGGCUUCUACGCCGUCAUAUUGGAGAAAGGUGAUGAAAUAAUUUCAGCAGCUUCUAUCAGGUUUCAUGGUACAAAGUUAGCAGAGAUGCCAUUCAUUGGAACUCGCCACAUAUACAGGCGGCAAGGGAUGUGUCGUAGGCUUUUUUGCGCCAUUGAAUCGGCUCUCUGCUCCCUAAAGGUUGAGAAAUUGGUUAUCCCUGCAAUUGCCGAACUCUUGCAUACAUGGACAGGUGUUUUUGGUUUUGUUCCUCUUGAGGAAUCAUUCAAGCAAGAAGUGAGAUCAAUUAAUGUGUUAGUCUUUCCCGGUAUUGACAUGCUACAAAAGCUGUUGGCUGACAAAGAGAAUGAGACGAGCAUGACAGGUAGCACAGGUGUAAAGAAAAUGGAAGGCAUAGGCAAGGCUUGUAUAAAGCCUGGAGGCAGUGGCAAAUCUGAUAUUGGCUCUCCAGCUAGCGUGGAUCCUCACGGGAGUGAUGGAGCUGGUUUGCUUCAUAUCAGUGAAACUGUAGAUGAAGGUGCUGAUGUGGAAUCUGGUUCUCCAGCUAGUCUUGAUCAUCAAGGGAGUGAUGGAGCUGGUUUGCUUCGUAUCAGUGAAACUGUAGAUAAAGGUGCUGAUGUGGAAUCUGGUUCUCAAUGUCUGGGUGUCUCUUUAAAUGAUACUUCUGUGAUGAGUGGCUCCUUAGAUGCUUCCGAUGAACUCAAAAAUCUAGAUUCAACCGGAAGGAGCAUGUUUUCUGAGUCUCCUACUGGGGACCAAUUAACUGGAUCCACUUCUGAAGGGAAAUGCGCUCCCGGUACAAGCCAUGAAGUUCUCGAGAUAGGAACUAAACCACCGCUGGAGUCUCCUGUCGAAGAUAAUAUGCAGUCUAAUUCCAAGUGUCCGGUUGUUUCUUCAAAUAGUACUUCUGUGUUGAAUGGUGGUUUGUUAGAUGAUUCUCAUAAACAUAACAAUCAGAUUUCGAUUGAGGGGACUGUGUCUGCUGACUCUGAUUCAGGUGCUAAGGUAGCUGAAUAUGGUUCUGAAGCAAAGUGCCUGUCUCCCUCUGACAAGAUCAGUGAAGCUGUAGAGACAGCACCUGUCGAUGAUAUUGUCAUGUCUCCUGAUGCCUCAUUACAAAAUACAUCCGUGAUAAUGAGUAAUCUACUCAAAGCUUCUCAAGUUCCAUCCAAGGGGACCGCAUCUUAUGACUCUGAUUUAGUUCCCAACUCAGAUGCUGAAGCCAAAUGCCAGUCUCCUUCUAAUACAAUUGAUGAAGGUCUAGAGAUUGGAAGUGAAACAAUACUGGGGUCUCCUGUUAAAGAUAUUAUACAGUCCACCUCUCAAGAUCCUGGUGAUUUAUUAAAUAAUACAGCCAAGUUGACUGAUAGCUCAUCAGAUGCUGCUUCUCAUGAUCUCAAGGUUUCCGGCUCAACCGAGGGUGAGUCAUCUUUUGACUGCGAUUCAGGUGUAGAGUUAACAGAACGGCCGUCUGAAGUGAAACGUAUUUCUUCCCCAGAUACAAGACAUGAAGCUUUGGAGACAGAAAAUCAACCAGUGCCAGAUUCUCUGAUUGUAGAUAGUAUUCGGCCUACUUCUGUGACUCAUGCGCUAAAGGAUGUUUCCGUGUUUAGUGGUGGCUCACUGAAUGUUUUCCAUGAAGUCAACAUUCAACCUUCAACCGUGGGGACUCCAUCCGAUUCUGAUCAAGGUGCCAAGUUAGUUGAGUACAGUUCGGAUGCUAAAUGUCAGUCUUCUCCAGUCGCUGGCGAUUAUAAAACGUUGGCAUCAACAUCAUUUUUGGAUAACACUUUGAUCUGCUUGAAAGGAAGUGCCUCAGAUAGUUCCCAUGAAGAGAAUGUUGAUAAGGCUUCUCUUGAGCAUAUUCCUUCUUCAGGAGAAACUUUUGCAAAGAACUGUGAGGAAAUUAAUGGAAAUUCAAAUUCCAAUAUCUGUGAGACUGAGAAACAAUCAUAUGUGGCUCCAGAAAUUGUGUGGGAUGCAAUGCAUUGUGAAAAGAGUAUUCCUAAAGCAUCUAGUGAUGGCUCUUCUACUGAUUCUGAGAGGGAUGAACCUGGUUCUGUUUGAUAUUGUAGCUUCAUUAUAAUCCCAGUCCAAAAUAUUCUCUUCCAAGUAGGAAUGCAUCAUGGUUCACAAUUUUGCAGGCCACUAUAAGCCUGAAGCUAAUAGUGUCUGCUCUGAUUCAGAUUGAGUGAAUAAGUUGUGUUACAACUACAAAGAAAUCCUAGCCUUUCGCUUAUGAUUUUAAGGUUCUGUAUCCAAGUUAACUGGACCUUGAGAAUUAUGUUUAUCCUUGGAAGUUGCAAGAUAUGCCUCAGUUGCAUCUAGGAUUCUGUCAUGUACAACUAAGUGAAGUUUAUGCUGUGAAAUGCCACCUUCAAAGUCCUGGGUAUACUGAUGCUGCCUCAUUCUGUUGUGCGGAUAAAGCGCCUAAGUUGAAGUUUGAAAUUUAUUCAUUUGGUGGUUUCAGGUUAUUAAAACCUUUGCUCCUACUGUCUGGGCAGCACUAAAGAUGCAUCUCGGCCACAAUUUUGAUUGUUCAACUGGUUGGGAAGCAGAUAAUUCUUGUGUCUAGUUCUGCAGCUCGGAUCAUAAUGGGGCAUGAUCAUCUGUUCUAAGGUCAUGGCGUCCACUUCCAGUAGACGUGUUUGGAAAGAGAGGGCAUGGGCAUGUACACAAGCAUAGUUCCUUACCUGUACAGUGUACUUCUCCGACUCAAGCGUCGGCAGGGCUUUCAGAGAGUUGAGGUGGAAGAACCGUAUGGUUUGGUCAAUCGGAGGUUCAGAGUUGUGGCUAUUGCAGUCAUGAUAUCCAGGAGAUGGAAGAACUUAGUGUCCGGGGAAUCUAGAGUCUUUGGAUGAUGUGUAAUGUCUUCGAUGCUCUGAUAUUUGUUGCGAUGAUGAAGUCUUUUUUUUUUUUUAUUGUUUGUAAUAACGGCAGUAAAUCUCUGCAAAUGCAAAGAUAGAAUAUAAAUGUAUCAAAGAUUCAGCUAAGAG